ensembl:lncRNA
CCCAAAAGAUCUUGAGAGGCUCUCGGAGCGCUCCAGUCCUGUUCUCAGUAGCUCUCCCAGCUCCGUCUGGGUCUUCAGCCCCUCUAGGUCUCUGUCUCUCCCCCUCCCUUCCUCCUCACCUCCCUCCGUCUUUUCUCCUUCCCUCCUCCCUCUCGUCUCUCUCCCUCUCUCUCUCCCCGUCUCUCUCUCUCUCUUUUCUCUCUCUCUCUCUCUUUCCUCUCUCUCUCACACACACACACCGCCCUGACUCCUCACUGAAAAGCACUCAGCAUCUUUCCUAACAAGCAGCCACACCGCCGAGGCCACGCCCACUCCUCGCAGCAGCGGUCCCCGAAAUUGGCAGCAGCAUCCUUCCUUCCAAACACACAACAGCGCUCGGAGCUCCGCUGCACCCAGAGGCGCGGCCUCCCGCUCGUGGGCCUCCUUGGGGCUCCCUCCCUUCUCCUCUAUUUUCCAAUAAUCCUUAACCCUUUUCUCCCAGCUGGAGGUGUGGGUGGGGGAAGGGACAAGGCGGUGGAGCCUUCUGAUUUUCUGGAGGUCUUGCAUUUGGCAGAGCCAGACAACAUACUGAGCUAUUCCUGAUUAUCCGGGAGUGCAUCCAGGAUCAACCUCCACCAUCUCCACCAUCUCCACCAUCAUCAGGACCCAGGUCAUCUUUUACAACUCUCUCUGUGUCUGAUAACCUUGACCCAUGUUAGCCUGGAGCUCCAGGAUCACGGAUCUUUCUGAGAUAUUUCAUGUUCUCCCCUACAUGGGUAGGCAGAACCAUGCGACCUUUGUGUCCAGUGACACGGCCAGUGAAGAUCCACAGUUUGAUCCUCCUUGCUUUUCCUGCUCUGCCAAGAUGACUCAGGAGUCUCAGUAUUCCAGAAUAUUCAGCUACAAGAUUGUGGAGUUUUACAUCUGACUGGUUAUGUGAACCAGGACCUUCCCCCAACUACUUGAUUCAAACCUGCACUGGACCUCCAGCAAGAGUGAGAAAUAAGUUACCAGCUAUCAAGAAAAGUCUUAACCUUUGUCAUGAUAUUUUUUCCACUCAGUUAGUCUCCAUGGGGUUCAAGCGCUCACUCAAUAGACAGCCUAUACUGUAAAUAUAAUUCUGCCCCUAUAGCUCAUGCUCAUGCAUGUAAACUGUUUCCCCUUAUCUGGAAGACCAGGAAAAUUUAUGCUCAGAGCUUAAAAGUCUCCCAAGUAAAAUAAAAUUGGUAUUUAAAAUCUUGUAUAAAUCUUGUAUGUGUAUGUAUAAUAUACAUUUCAACCAUAGUUUUUAUUAUAAGGCAUUAGGUUUUGUGUGUUUUUGUGGUUUUUGUUUGUUUCUUGUUUGUUUAGACGGAAUUUUCCUCUUGUCGCCCAGGCUGGAGUGCAAUGGCGUGAUCUUGGCUCACCACAACCUCCGCCUCCCAGGUUCAAGUGAUUCUCCUGUCUCAGUUUCCUGAGUAGCUGGGAUUACAGGGAUGUGCCACCAUGCCCGGGUAAUUUUGUAUUUUUAUUAGAGAUGAGAUUUCUCCGUGUUGGUCAGGCUGAUCUCGAAUUCCCUACCUCAGAUGAUCCGCCAACCUUGGCCUCCCAAAGUGCUGGGAUUAUAGGUAUGAGCAACCACGCCUGGCUGUUUGAUUUUGUUUUUUGCUGUAUUCACCUUGCUUAUGAUAGCCUGUGGAUUGAUAUCUUAACCUGACCCCAGUCUUUCCCUCUUGGCACCUUACCUGAAGCCAAGAGAUUAUAUGCUUCCAUGCAUAACUGAGAUACCUGUCCCUUGAUUCGAACCACCUAUUCCAAUACUCUGUUGAAAUUUCAUGAAUACUCCAUUCAUUUAUAUGAUAACAUGAGCAUCAUUGACAUAAGAUACAUGUGUGGUUAUUCUAGCAUGCAUACUAGAACCUGCUUCCUUGGUGGGGGUGUCUCUACCAUAAAACUUGUCUUCAGAGGCUGGGUGCGGUGGUUCACACCUGUAAUCCCAGCACUUUGGGAGGCCAAGUGAAUUACGAGGUCAGGAGAUCCAGACCAUCCCGGCUAACACAGUGAAACCCCAUCUCUACUAAAAAUACAAAAAAUUAGCCGGGCGUGGUGGCGGGCGCCUGUAGUCCCAGCUGCUUAGGAGGCUGAGGCAGGAGAAUGGCGUGAACCUGGGAGGCAGAGCUUGCAGUGAGCUGAGAUCGCGCCACUGCACUCCAGCCUGGGAGACAGAGAGAAACUCCGUCUCAAAAAAAAAAAAAAAACUUGUCUUCAGAACUCAUGUCACAGUGGUUAAUUUCAUAUUUGUUUGCAUGAUUAUGUAACUAUUCUAUGACUCCCCUCUACUUCAUGGGGGCAGGGAUCCAUUUGUUUCAUUUCUCUGCCCCCAGCCCAAACCCACGAAAUAGCAUUUGGCUCAUUUUAGUUGCUCAACAAACAUUUUUAGAAUACUGUUUUUUUGUUUAAUUAUAAUAACGAGUGCUUUUAUAUUAACAUAGUAAUAUUUGAAGCAAUUUCUUUUCAAAAAAAAAGAAAACUUGGAGCAUGAAUACAUUAUUUGAGAAGAUUAUUAUUGUCCCUCUUAAUUUUCCCUGAUAGGGAUUGCACCAAAAUUUUGUUUCAUAUACUUAGUAUUUAGAUAGGUUAUGUUUUGUAUGUGACUAUAUGUGUCUGUAUACCCUGAUAAAGAUUGAAUAUACAGAUGUGUAAACAUACAAACAUACGAGCACAAAUGUGUAAGUGAACUUUGCAAAUUAUUAAUUUAAGUCAAUGGUUCUCACUGGGAACAAUUUUGCCCCCUCCCCGGAAGACAUUUUGGCAAUUUCUGGAGACAUUUUUGGCUGUCACAAUCCAUGAGGGGAAGGCUACUAGUUCCUAGUGAGUAAAGAUCAAAAAUGCUCCAAACAUCCUACCACACACAGGACAGCACCCCUCCCACCCACUUAAAAAGAAUUAUUCAUCCCAAAGUGUUACUAGUGCCAAAUUGAGAAAUCCUGACUUAAACGAUGACCUUAAAAUUUUAAAUACAGAAAUUGUGUAAUGCAUGUUUUUUUCUGAGUUGACAUGGUGAUAUAUGCCAUUAUUCAGGGCACAUUAUGUACUCGUUCCUUUUUUCGGAGCUGAAAUGUUUAACUUCAUCAAACUGUUGCAAUCCUUAUAGGCUAGGUGUCAUCCUUGAAGUUAGAGGAAAGUGAAGUCAGCCUGUCUUGAUCACAUAUCUCUCUGGGCAAGGCCUCUCACGCUGCCACCUUACUACAAUCCACGCAGCUCUACGUGAUGUGCCCAACAUGGAGGACUCAGCAGCCAGAGCUGUAGGGUCUGCUUUUGGAAGACAGUGAAUGUGAACUAAUGCCUAAUCCCAAAAGCCACUAUAAACUCUGCUUUUAUAAAUCCUCGCUCACAGCGUGUUUUUGUAAGGGCUUAUUCAUCUCCAGUAUUAGCAGCAAGCGUAAUUCCCUUGUGUGCCCAGAAUGGAUAAUGUGAAAGGUUAAAUAGUAUUUUCUAUUCCCCAGGGGAGGUGAUCAUCUUUAUGACGCCCUAAGCUCCUCGAUUAGCCUUUUACAAGGGAACAAAGUAAGCUAUUCUACGUGUGCCUCAAGCGGCAACUCUUUCAAAACAGAUUUGCCCCAAACACUUUGAAAACAGAGUUUUACCAUUCCUUCACAACCUUGGAGAAUUUAAUAAUUUAGAAGUCUGCACAUUGACCACUGAAAUAUUUUAUCAUUGAUGUUUCCAUUAAAUUAUAGUUGCUUGAAAUCAGCAUGGGGUUGAAAUUCUUUCCAGUGAAUACUCUGAUUUCUUUCACUCAUUUAUCAAGGAUGUUUAUUGACAGUUUGCAUGAAUAGAAUCCUGCCUUUGGACAUCAUUUUUACAAGAAAGGAACAAUCAUAACAUUGACAAAGAUUCUUUGUGAAGGAAAAAGAAAGUUGCACAUCAAUAAAAAAAAACCAUAUUUCCCAUCAGCAUUUCUCUUAUGCACUAGAAAAUGUUCUACUCAACUUAUCUGUGAAUUCAAUAGAAGUACUAUUAGAGAAGCAAGAUUUCAGAUCCCAUUGGGUAACUUGCCCUUUGAUUGAGGCCUAAUGACCAGGUUAGGAGGUUAGGGGAAGGGGGAGGCUGGGUUUUCUCAAACUCAGAACAGCGGCUCACUUAAAGGUCUUAUUUACCUUUUCCUCCUUCAAGUGGAACAAUAGAAAUGCAAUGAUAAAUUGGAGACUGUGGGUUUUCAGCUAGAUGUGUGAUCAGAAUUUGGACCAUUUAAUA